CCUACGGGCGGCAGCAGUGGGGAAUAUUGGGCAAUGGGCGAAAGCCUGACCCAGCAACGCCGCGUGAAGGAAGAAGGCUUUCGGGUUGUAAACUUCUUUUGACAGGGAAGAGCAGAAGACGGUACCUGUCGAAUAAGCCACGGCUAACUACGUGCCAGCAGCCGCGGUAAUACGUAUGGUGCAAGCGUUAUCCGGAUUUAUUGGGUUUAAAGGGUGCGUAGGCUGUGAGGUAAGUCAGCGGUGAAAUGCCCCCGCUCAACGGGGUGAAGUGCCAUUGAUACUGCCUUGCUGGAAUGCGGAUGCCGUGGGAGGAAUGUGUGGUGUAGCGGUGAAAUGCAUAGAUAUCACACAGAACACCGAUUGCGAAGGCAUCUCACGAAUCCGCGAUUGACGCUGAUGCACGAAAGCGUGGGUAUCAAACAGGAUUAGAUACCCCAGUAGUC
rnacentral:rRNA from 1 species